AUUGAACGCUGGCGGCAGGCCUAACACAUGCAAGUCGAGCGGAUGAAGGGAGCUUGCUCCUGGAUUCAGCGGCGGACGGGUGAGUAAUGCCUAGGAAUCUGCCUGGUAGUGGGGGAUAACGUCCGGAAACGGGCGCUAAUACCGCAUCCGUCCUUAGGGAGAAAGUGGGGGAUCUUCGGACCUCACGCUAUCAGAUGAGCCUAGGUCGGAUUAGCUAGUUGGUGGGGUAAAGGCCUACCAAGGCGACGAUCCGUAACUGGUCUGAGAGGAUGAUCAGUCACACUGGAACUGAGACACGGUCCAGACUCCUACGGGAGGCAGCAGUGGGGAAUAUUGGACAAUGGGCGAAAGCCUGAUCCAGCCAUGCCGCGUGUGUGAAGAAGGUCUUCGGAUUGUAAAGCACUUUAAGUUGGGAGGAAGGGCAGUAAGUUAAUACCUUGCUGUUUUGACGUUACCAACAGAAUAAGCACCGGCUAACUUCGUG
rnacentral:rRNA from 1 species